CGAUAUUAUCCAGCUUGCUGGAUAAGAAAGUGGCGCACGGGUGCGUAACGCGUAUGCAACCUACCUUAAUCAGGGGGAUAGCCCGGAGAAAUCCGGAUUAACACCGCAUAAAAACACAGGAUAGCAUUAUCCAAUGUUCAAAUAUUUAUAGGAUUAAGAUGGGCAUGCGUGUCAUUAGCUAGUUGGCGGGGUAACGGCCCACCAAGGCGACGAUGACUAGGGGAUCUGAGAGGAUGGCCCCCCACACUGGUACUGAGACACGGACCAGACUCCUACGGGAGGCAGCAGUAAGGAAUAUUGGUCAAUGGGGGCAACCCUGAACCAGCCAUGCCGCGUGCAGGAAGACUGCCCUAUGGGUUGUAAACUGCUUUUAUCCGGGAAUAAACCUACUUACGUGUAAGUAGCUGAAUGUACCGGAAGAAUAAGGAUCGGCUAACUCCGUGCCAGCAGCCGCGGUAAUACGGAGGAUCCAAGCGUUAUCCGGAUUUAUUGGGUUUAAAGGGUGCGUAGGCGGCCUGUUAAGUCAGGGGUGAAAGACGGUAGCUCAACUAUCGCAGUGCCCUUGAUACUGAUGGGCUUGAAUAAACUAGAGGUAGGCGGAAUGAGACAAGUAGCGGUGAAAUGCAUAGAUAUGUCUCAGAACACCGAUUGCGAACGCAGCUUACUAUGGUUUGAUUGACGCUGAGCACGAAAGCGUGGGGAUCAAACAGGAUUAGAUACCCUGGUAGUCCACGCCCUAAACGAUGAC
rnacentral:rRNA from 1 species